rnacentral:rRNA from 1 species
UACGAAGGGUGCAAGCGUUAAUCGGAAUUACUGGGCGUAAAGGGUGCGUAGGCGGUUAUUUAAGUCUGACGUGAAAUCCCCGGGCUCAACCUGGGAAUGGCGGUGGAUACUGGAUAGCUAGAGUGUGUCAGAGGAUGGUGGAAUUCCCGGUGUAGCGGUGAAAUGCGUAGAGAUCGGGAGGAACAUCAGUGGCGAAGGCGGCCAUCUGGGACAACACUGACGCUGAAGCACGAAAGCGUGGGGAGCAAACAGG